rnacentral:rRNA from 1 species
UGCCAGCAGCCGCGGUAAUACGGAGGGUGCAAGCGUUGUUCGGAAUUAUUGGGCGUAAAGCGCGCGCAGGCGGACUACUAAGUCUGAUGUGAAAUCCCUCGGCUCAACCGAGGAACUGCAUUGGAUACUGGUAGCCUUGAGUCUCGGAGAGGAAAGCGGAAUUCCCAGUGUAGAGGUGAAAUUCGUAGAUAUUGGGAGGAACACCAGUGGCGAAGGCGGCUUUCUGGACGAUGACUGACGCUGAGGCGCGAAAGCAUGGGUAGCAAACAGGAUUAGAUA